rnacentral:rRNA from 1 species
GAUGAACGCUGGCGGCGUGCUUAAUACAUGCAAGUCGAACGAAGGUUGUAGCAAUACAUCCUUAGUGGCGAACGGGUGAGUAACGCGUUGGUGACCUGCCCCGAAGUGCGGGAUAACAGUCCGAAAGGAUUGCUAAUACCGCAUGGUUUCAUUUGGAUUAGAUGCCAGAUGAGCAAAGGCGAAAGUCGCUUCGGGAGGGGCUUGCGUCCCAUCAGCUAGUUGGUAGGGUAAUGGCCUACCAAGGCAAUGACGGGUAGGGGACCUGAGAGGGUGGCCCCCCACAAUGGAACUGAAACACGGUCCAUACACCUACGGGUGGCAGCAGUGGGGAAUAUUGCACAAUGGGGAAACCCUGAUGCAGCAACGCCGCGUGAGUGAUGACGGCCUCGGUUGUAAGACUCUGUCUUCUAGGACGAGUAAUAGACGGUACCGUGAGGAGGAAGCACGGCUAACUACGUAGCCAGCAGCCGCGGUAACGUACGUCUACUG